UCGCCGUUAUCUACGAGAUCCUUCAAUGUCUACUCUCAUUUAUACUUGUCUCUGUAAUCCGUAUAUACUUGUAGAAAAUACUUUAAAACAAUAUAGGGCAUUUCGGUUCUUAUCAAAUCAUAUAAUUUCUUUUCGAUAACAGUAAAUUCAAGUAACAGUAAAACAGAUCUAGUGACAACGAAAAUAUUUAAUACCAUGAUAUUCAUCUCAAAUAACUAUUUCGGUAUCAUAACGAGUAAAAUACUUGUCUCACAUGCAACUUAAAAUAAUCGGUAACAUAUCCAUAUUAAAAAUCAUGUGUAAAUCAUGCAAGUUAUGAAAACACAAAUUGCGGUAAGAUUACAACUCACAGUACUCGUGCCGAAAUACCAACUGCUUCACCUCAAGUAACUCGUACAAAUUCCUCCAAUCAAUCUAUAAUUACAUAAUAUCGGUCUCAUGUUAAUUUUAUUAUUUAGGCUAAUUCAUAGUUAUUUUAGAAUACCCAACCCUCGAGGUUUCAUGUUUGACUCUUAUUUUGCCUAGAAUAAUUCUUAUUGGUAUUUAAUUUCGUAUACCUUGUGAAACCCUUCAAAUAUAUGAACUGGGAUAAAAAGAAUUAUUAGAAGAAAAUAACCCAGAUGAAAAAUUCGAGUGUUACCCGUAAAGACCAAUGCGUAUUUAAAAUUUCUCGUUCCAGCCUUUUUCUUCUUCUUCUUCUCUUCCUUUUGAAACCCCUUUUCUGGGUUUUUCUGAAGCAGACCGUAUUCGUUUUUCUGAAGCAGACUUAUUUCCCCCUUUCUCUUUUUCGUUGCUUUUUAUGUGCUUU
rnacentral:lncRNA from 1 species